rnacentral:rRNA from 1 species
GACAGAGGGUGCAAACGUUGCUCGGAAUUACUGGGCGUAAAGCGAGUGUAGGCGGUCUGCUAAGUCGGGUGUGAAAGCCCUGGGCUCAACCCAGGAAGUGCACUCGAAACUGGCGGGCUAGAGUAUCGGAGAGGUUGGUGGAAUUCUCGGUGUAGAGGUGAAAUUCGUAGAUAUCGAGAGGAACACCGGUGGCGAAGGCGGCCAACUGGACGAAUACUGACGCUGAGACUCGAAAGCGUGGGGAGCAAACAGG